rnacentral:rRNA from 1 species
CCUACGGGAGGCAGCAGUGGGGAAUAUUGGACAAUGGGGGGAACCCUGAUCCAGCCAUGCCGCGUGUGUGAAGAAGGCCCUCGGGUUGUAAAGCACUUUCAGUGAGGAAGAACGCCUGGUGGUUAAUACCUAUCAGGAAAGACAUCACUCACAGAAGAAGCACCGGCUAACUCCGUGCCAGCAGCCGCGGUAAUACGGAGGGUGCGAGCGUUAAUCGGAAUUACUGGGCGUAAAGCGCGCGUAGGUGGCUUGAUAAGCCGGUUGUGAAAGCCCCGGGCUCAACCUGGGAACGGCAUCCGGAACUGUCAAGCUAGAGUGCAGGAGAGGAAGGUAGAAUUCCCGGUGUAGCGGUGAAAUGCGUAGAGAUCGGGAGGAAUACCAGUGGCGAAGGCGGCCUUCUGGACUGACACUGACACUGAGGUGCGAAAGCGUGGGUAGCAAACAGGAUUAGAUACCCUAGUAGUC